rnacentral:rRNA from 1 species
UACGAAGGGGGCUAGCGUUGCUCGGAAUCACUGGGCGUAAAGCGCACGUAGGCGGACUCUUAAGUCGGUGGUGAAAUCCUGGAGCUCAACUCCAGAACUGCCCUCGAUACUGAGAGUCUUGAGUCCGGGAGAGGUGAGUGGAACUGCGAGUGUAGAGGUGAAAUUCGUAGAUAUUCGCAAGAACACCAGUGGCGAAGGCGGCUACCUGGACCGGAACUGACGCUGAUGCGCGAAAGCGUGGGUAGCAAACAGG